GGGGCCCAUCUCACUAGACAAUAUCAGAUAUGUCUAUCGGGAGAUAAAUAAUGUAGCUGACUGGAUUGCUUCCUUUGUUGCGGAGCACUUUAAAGAGAUGCUAGAGACAGAUGUGGGACUACUUCGAGUUGCUUUAUGAUAUUUUACUUUCUGAUCUUACUGGUUAUAUUCAUACUAGACUUAUAUGAGUGCUUCAUUUUAUCACCAAAAAGUAAAAGAUAAAA
rnacentral:lncRNA from 1 species